GAUGAACGCUGGCGGCGUGCUUAAUACAUGCAAGUCGAACGAAGAGCCUUUGUAGCAAUACGGAGGUUUCUUAGUGGCGAACGGGUGCGUAACGCGUUGGUGACCGGCCCCGAAGUGUGGGAUAACCGUUCGAAAGGACUGCUAAUACCGCAUGUGAUCAUCGGAUUUAGAACAUGAUGAUUAAAGCAGUAAUGCGCUUCGGGAGGGACCUGCGUCCCAUCAGCUAGUUGGUGAGGUAACGGCCCACCAAGGCUACGACGGGUAGGGGACCUGAGAGGGUGGUCCCCCACACUGGCACUGAAACACGGGCCAGACACCUACGGGUGGCAGCAGUAGGGAAUACUGGGCAAUGGGCGAAAGCCUGACCCAGCAACGCCGCGUGCACGAUGAAGGUCUUCGGAUCGUAAAGUGCUUUUCUGAGAGAUGAGAAAGGACAGUAUCUCAGGAAUAAGUCUCGGCUAACUACGUGCCAGCAGCCGCCGUAAAAC
rnacentral:rRNA from 1 species